ACUCAUGUAAUUGGUGCAGUACCAUUCCCACCCUCUAGGGGGCAGUUGACUUAAGUGUAUUGAGUGAACUGGCUGCUUUUAGUUCAGAUGAAGAAGCCAGCUGGACAUGCAUCCAUGAGGUUGGAGAUGCAUCCCAGAUCUGAUGAAAGAUUAGAUUUUUUCGGUUGAUUUACCGUGUUUCUUUAUGAGAACUCUGAUUGGGUUUUAUGAGUGGAUUUUGAUUCUGCAUCGUGACCUACUUUUGAUUGGCGAGCCAGAGCCUUUUUGAUCUACACACGUGGAGUGAACCCACGCCCCCUUGUGGAUUUACGGGAUAUAACAGCUAAGCUGUGAUCUCACACACUUUGUACACACUACCCGGGUAGAAAAAUAUACAAAAAGGCCUUUACACACAUUCACAUUGAGAACUAUAUU